rnacentral:rRNA from 1 species
GACGAACGCUGGCGGCGUGCUUAACACAUGCAAGUCGAACGGAAAGGCCCUGCUUUUGUGGGGUGCUCGAGUGGCGAACGGGUGAGUAACACGUGAGUAACCUGCCCUUGACUUUGGGAUAACUUCAGGAAACUGGGGCUAAUACCUGCUAGGUGCUCCUGCUGCAUGGUGGGUGUUGGAAAGUUUCGGCGGUUGGGGAUGGACUCGCGGCUUAUCAGCUUGUUGGUGUGGUAGUGGCUUACCAAGGCUUUGACGGGUAGCCGGACUGAGAGGGUGACCGGCCACAUAGGGACUGAGAUGCGGGCAGGACGCAUAAGGGGAGAAGCAGUGGAGAAUAGUGCAAGAUGGGCGGAAGCCUGAUGCAGGAACGCCGCGUGCGAGAUGACGGCAAUCGAGUUGGAGACCGAUUUCGCCAGUGACGAAGAGUGAGUGACGGUAAUGGGUAAAGAAGCACCGGCUAACUACGUG